UUUUAUUAUUCAAUUAAAUUUUAUUAAAAUAUAAGUUACACUUUUGGUCCUCCAAUUAUAAUGCGCGUCAUAAUUUGAUCCUCAAGUUUUAAUUUAUUAUAUAUUUUUUUAUUCGAAUCUUCAGAAUUAUUGUGAUUAUAUUGUGUAAUUCAAUUUAGUUAACAAAAUAUUAAAUAUUAUUUAUGUAAAAAUUAUGUGAUAUUUUAAUUAUUAAUAUAUCGUCAAUCAUAACAUAGAUACAUCACUUUUAGAUUUAGCGACGCAAUAAUUUUUAGUCAAUUAAAUUGAGUUGUGGGAUCUGAUUGUAAUAGUGCUGGUAAUUUGAGCCAAAAAUUAUAACUAAUUAAAAUUUGAAAAUCAAAAUAUCAUAUGAUUUAUCAUAUGGUUUAUAGUUUCAUGACAAAAAAUGUAGCUUAUUUAAUUUUAAAAAGCUACUUAUAUGUUUUAAGGACCAAAAUAAUCUCUCUCAUUAUAAAGGUAAUACCUUGUCUAAAAUAAAAAUUUUUCCAAUCUAGCUCUUUUUAAAACAAAAUAUUCCUAAUCUAGCCUUAAUUUUAUGAAUUAUGAAGAAAAAAAUAUGUUAGUAAUUUUUAUAUGAGUUUAUGUGUCAAUUGAGAGAGAUUAUUUUUUCUCUCUCCUCUCCUAUUUCUCAAGGCCUCUCUCACACUCUUUCUCUCUCUCUCUCUCCUCACCAACCAUACCUCUCUCUCUCCUCCCUCCCACCCCCCUCUCUUCAAUUAAUAUUUAAUUUAAUAACAAUUAAUAUUUAUUAUAAUUAUAAUUAUAAUAUAAUAGUAAUAAUAAAAGAUUAAUAUUUAAUAAUAAUAAAAAAUAGUUAUUAUUACUAUAUUAUAAAUUUUUUUAUUACUAUUAUUAUUAUUACUAUUAUUACUAGUACUUAAUUUGACAAUAAAAUUAAAAUUAUUAAACAUUCGAGAGAACUACACAUUCAAAAUAAAAUAUUAUUAUAUAUUACAUAAAAAUAAAAGUAAUAUAACUAUACAUUAAAUAUGAUAUAAAAUUGACUAUAUUUAAUAAAAAAUUUAACUUAAUUACACAAUUGACAUGAUAUAAAAAUAAUAUAACUAUACAUGAAAUAAAAAUAAAAAUAAUAUAACUAUACAUUAGAUAUGAUAUAAAGUUAACUAUACUUGAUAUAAAAUUAUAAUAGUAAUAAUACUAUUUUUUUAUUAUUAUUACAUAUUAAAUAUUUAUUUUUUAUUAUUAAUAAAUAUUAAUUAUUAUUAAAUAUUGAAGAGCUAGAGAGCGUGUUGGGGGUGUGUGGUUGGUGAGGAGAGAGAGAGAGAGAAAGAGUGAGAGAGAGGUGAGAGAGAAAAAAAAAUCUCUCUUAAUUAACACAUAAACUCAUAUAAAUAUUAUAUGUAUAAAUAUUAUAUAAAUAUUAUAUUUUUAUAUAAAGAUAUUAUUAUAUAUUAUUUUAUUUAUUAAUACUCUUAAAAAUAUAAAUAGUAUAUAUUAUAUGAUUAUAUGCUUAUUAUAUAAUAAAAUUUUAAAUAUAUUUAAUUUAUAACAAUAAAUUAUAAUAAUAAAAUUAUUAUAUAAAAAUAAUAUAUAUAAUAAAGAAAAAUAUUAAGUAGUUAUUCAUUUAUUUUUUUAUUUUUUUCUUUUAAUCAAAUAACCAUAAUAAAAAAUUAUUUUUUUCAACAAAUUAAAUACUAAAAAAUGUAAAAUUUAUUUUGCCUGAAUUUUUUUUCUACUGAAAUUUUUUUUUAUAUUAUUUGACGUGAAACCCAACCGCCCCUUAUAAACAAACAAACAUAAAAUAUAACGACUUAAAAAAAAAUUAUUUAUAAGCCCACAAAAUAAGUAGAAAAGUAGUCAUAAAAAAGAAGCUGCACAUAUGGACAUCCCCACCAAUGUAAAUUGUUUUUGGAUUAAUUUCUUCAAUACCCUUCUACAAAGGAGUAAUUUUAUAAAUACCCUUCUAAAUUAAAAAAUUAUUAUUAAUAGCUUUAUAUAUAAAAAAGAAUUUAGUGUUUAGACUUCUAAUUUGAGUGUACUAGCAGUAUUGCUCAUAUCUAAAAAUGAGCACUAAAAUCUAGCACAAAAAAUAUGAAUUAUUUUGCCUUUUUUUACCUAUUGGACGGAUCAAUAUUUUGCCAAAGGGAACGGCUAUGUAUGCUUUAUACAUAUAAAAUUAUCUCAUAAAAUAUAAUCUUUAAAGAAUCUUCAUUAAUUUAUAUAUGUAUAAAAGUUGCUAUAUAGAGAUCAUAUAUCAAUAUAUAUAUAUAUAUAUAUACUAGUAAAAUGUACGUGCAAAUGCACGUAAUAAUUAUUAGAAAAAUUUAUAAUUUUUUUAUAUUAUUUUUUAAUUUUAGGCCAUAUUUUAUAUGAUUGCCAAAUAUGCAUCUAAAAAAUUUAAAAUAAUAAAUCACGCUAUUAAGAAAGAUAUGCUUUAAAUGAUAAAUAAUUAACAAUAAUCUUUAAUGCAAAAAUUGCUUUUGAAAUUAAAUAGAAAAAUAAAAUCUGUUAGGAAAUAAAUUUUUAAAAUUAAAUAGAAAAAAAAAAUCCGUUAUCUUAAAAAAAUAUAUAUUUUGAAAUUAAAUAGAUAAUAUCUAAAAAAAGAUAUUUUAAAAUAAAAUAGCGUGAUAUUUUUUAUAGGAUUUUCACACCCGUAAUCUGUUAUAGAAAACUUACUUUUGAAAUUAAAUAUAAAAAUUUAUAUUUUAGAAUUUUCACAUCAGUAAUCUGUUAUAGAGAACUUACGUAUUCAUUGCUAUUUCUAUUUCUAUUUUUAUUUUUAUAUUUAAAUUUUUUCGUACGGAAAGAGAAAAAUGGGCGCUAAUUUUUCCGCCAAAAAAUGGGUCUGUCGACCGACCCAAAUUUGAAUAUAUGUGCUUUUAUAUAUAGUAUAGAUAUAUAUAUAUAUAUAUAUAUAUAUAUAUAUGAGUAGGGCUACUAUGCUAUAGAAGCACAGCAGCCCUUGUGCUCUUAACUUUCUAAUCAUUCAUCAAGUUUGAUGGGUGGUUUGAAUGAGAGGGGAAAGGAAUAUUGGAGAGAAAUUAGGUGUCUUAAUUUCUCUUCUCCUUAAAUUUCCUUUUCAAUAUCUCUUCUCCCUUUUAUUCUAACGGUCCAUCAAAUUGAUGGAUGUUAGAAUAGUUAGGCAGUAAGAGGACUGCUGUGCCCUAAAAAAAAAAAAUACAACAGUAGCACGUACUCAUAUAUAUAUAUAUAUAUAUAUAUAUAAUCUUUUACUAGUGAUUCGGAGCAUUUUUUUUCGUAAAAUAUAUUAUAGCAUUUUAUUUAUUUUCAUAUUAAUAAUUUGUUAAUAUUUAGUUAAUUAAAUUAGAUUGCCAGAUAUAAUUAUAAUAAUUUAAAAAAUUUGAAUCAGAAACUAUAAUCAAUUAAAGUUUAUGAAUCAAAGUGUCACGCGCCUUUUAGUCUGAAGACCAAAAAUGUAAUUUACCCAAAUUGCUCAUCUCUUUUACAAAGGCUCUCAUCAUUUUCUACUUUUUUGAAAAGAAAGUUAUGUUACAGCUUUUCCUCCAGUGCUCUACAGGUGGUUCAUUUUGCUCUAAUACAUGAUUUCAGGCCUACUUUAGAGUAAAGUGCCUAAGUUGAGUUAGCUUUCAUAACAAAA
rnacentral:lncRNA from 1 species